rfam:Conidiobolus coronatus NRRL 28638 unplaced genomic scaffold CONCOscaffold_26, whole genome shotgun sequence.
GCUUCUUUGGCGCAGUUGGCAGCGCGUGAGUCUCAUAAUCUCGAGGUCGUCGGUUCGAACCCGACAGGGAGCA